rnacentral:rRNA from 4 species
GUACAACUCUGAGCGGUGGAUCACUCGGCUCGUGUG